CUGUAAGGAGUCCCCGCGGAAACCCUUCCCCGGCACUUUGGUUCCGGGCGGAACGUUGGACUCUGCGAAAGGCCGGUCUCAGAAGUAAUGAGAGCAUAUCUACCCACAUGUCUAAUGAAGAGUAUAACUGAAUGGGGCCUCCUCCUGUGAAUAAUAACUGUGGACAGUAUAACUGAAAUAUGUCCCCUGUCCCAUAUCUUUCCAAUUAAAUCAAAAA